UGUGAAAAGCGAAAAUAGCGAAGGUAAAGGCCCGUAAAGAGAUUAAAAUUGGAUUUAGUGCGUAUUUUUAAAAUAUUUUACGGUAGCCCCCUCUGCGCAUGACAUACGGGACUUCGCCUUCACCGCAGAGUUUUUGGCGGGAAAAUUUGCAAUGUUUGGAGAAGACAAGAUGGCGCCGGUUUACUUCGUGUCGUCAAAGGGCAUUUUUGUUCACAAAUACACGCUUAUUUUACGUUAUAGCGACUGGUUAGUUUUGUAAAUUAUAACUCAAUGGACAGGGAUUCUGUAGUAAAGAGAAAAAGACGUGCAGUUGUUGACGAAAUUUCGCUACAUCGCUGUACUGGUUUAUAAAAAUUCUACUGGCAACUCGACCAUGGAUAAAGGGACAACGUUUGAAUGAAAGAACAGCCUGUCUUGAUG